UAAUUUGGCUUAUCGGGUUGUGUUAAAGGAAGCAGGUGAAACUCCUGCGCUGUGCCGCAACUGUAUAGCCAGAAAACUAGCAACCCGGGGCUUUCCGAG
rnacentral:ncRNA from 2 species